UACGUAGGGUGCGAGCGUUGUCCGGAAUUAUUGGGCGUAAAGAGCUCGUAGGCGGCUUGUCGCGUCGGAUGUGAAAGCCCGGGGCUUAACUCCGGGUCUGCAUUCGAUACGGGCAGGCUAGAGUUCGGUAGGGGAGAUCGGAAUUCCUGGUGUAGCGGUGAAAUGCGCAGAUAUCAGGAGGAACACCGGUGGCGAAGGCGGAUCUCUGGGCAUUAACUGACGCUGAGGAGCGAAAGCAUGGGGAGCGAACAGG
rnacentral:rRNA from 1 species